rnacentral:rRNA from 1 species
UACGGAGGUGGCAAGCGUUGCUCGGAAUCACUGGGCGUAAAGGGCGCGUAGGCGGGGAGGUAAGUCGGGUGUGAAAUCUUGGAGCUUAACUCCGAAACUGCAUUCGAUACUGCCGUGCUUGAGGACUGGAGAGGAGACUGGAAUUUACGGUGUAGCGGUGAAAUGCGUAGAUAUCGUAAGGAAGACCAGUGGCGAAGGCGGGUCUCUGGACAGUUCCUGACACUGAGACACGAAGGCCAGGGGAGCAAACGGG